GGGUUUGAUCCUGGCUCAGGAUGAACGCUGGCGGCGUGCUUGACACAUGCAAGUCGAACGGGCGAGCUAGGCCCAGGCGGUUCGGAAGUGGCAGAGUGGGUGAAAAUCUACAAAGGCAUGGAAGGGCAAGAAGGGUCGGUGCUUGUCAGUGGCGGACGGGUGAGUAACACGUAGGUAAUCUGCCCCGGAGUGGGGAACAACUGUUCGAAAGGGCAGCUAAUUCCGCAUGUGGUCCGCGAGGAAGAAAGGGCUUCGGCCCGCUCUGGGAUGAGCCUGCGGCCGAUUAGCUAGUUGGUGGGGUAAAGGCUCACCAAGGCGACAAUCGGUAGCUGGUCUGAGAGGAUGAUCAGCCACACUGGAACUGAGACACGGUCCAGACUCCUACGGGAGGCAGCAGUGAGGAAUAUUGCACAAUAGGGGAAACCCUGAUGCAGCAACGCCGCGUGAGCGAUGAAGGCCUUCGGGUUGUAAAGCUCUUUUCUACGGGAAGAGGAAGGACGGUACCGUAGGAAUAAGCCUCGGCUAACUACGUGCCAGCAGCCGCGGUAAAACGUAGGAGGCGAGCGUUAUCCGGAAUCACUGGGCGUAAAGGGCAAGUAGGCGGUAGCCAAAGUUGGGCGUGACAGGUCUCGGCUUAACUGAGAAAGGUCGCUCAAAACUAGGCAACUAGAGAGCAGGAGAGGGAGGCGGAACUCCUAAUGUAGCAGUGGAAUGCUUAGAUAUUAGGAGGAACACCAGUGGCGAAGGCGGCCUUCUGGCCUGACUCUGACGCUGAGAGGCGAAAGCUAGGGUAGCAAACGGGCUUAGAUACCCCGGUAGUCCUAGCUGUAAACGGUGGAUACUAGGUAAUGGGGGUGUAAACUCCCUCAGUGCCGAAGCCAACGCGUUAAGUAUCCCGCCUGGGGACUACGACCGCAAGGUUAAAACUCAAAGGAAUUGACGGGGACCCGCACAAGCAGCGGAGCGUGUGGUUUAAUUCGAUGUUACACGAAGAACCUUACCUGGGCUUGACAUGUACGUAGUAGCGAAGCGAAAGCGGAGCGACCCUUCGGGGAGCGUACACAGGUGCUGCAUGGCUGUCGUCAGCUCGUGCCGUGAGGUGUUGGGUUAAGUCCUACAACGAGCGCAACCCUCGUUGCCAGUUAGAGCUGUCUGGCGAGACUGCCGGCAUAUAACCGGAGGAAGGUGGGGAUGACGUCAAGUCAGUAUGGCCUUUAUGUCCAGGGCUACACACACGCUACAAUGGUCGGUACAGAGGGCAGCAAAGCCGCGAGGUGGAGCUAAUCCCACAAAGCCGAUCUCAGUUCAGAUUGCAGGCUGCAACCCGCCUGCAUGAAGUUGGAGUUGCUAGUAACCGCAGGUCAGCAAUACUGCGGUGAAUACGUUCCCGGGUCUUGUACACACCGCCCGUCACGUCAUGGAAGCUGGCAACACCUGAAGUCGGUGAGCCGACCGCAAGGGGGCAACCGCCGAAGGUGGGGCUAGUGACUGGGACGAAGUCGUAACAAGGUA
rnacentral:rRNA from 1 species